CCCGAAGGUUACAAAGUCGACUUUGAACUUUGUGAGGCCCCAAGCUUCCAUAAACCCCAAGCGUGGGGUGAUGACUAAGGCUGCGGAAUAUGAGCUGGAGCAGGAGACAGCGGUCCAUGGGGAGGACAGAGAGUGCAAAGCCCUGGGAGGUUGGCCAGGAGAAGGGGGAGCAGGGCCACGAAGCUCACUCCAGCUGUGAUCAGAUACAAACACAGGAGUUGCUAAC